GAAGCUAUUAUAAUGGAAAAUAUUAAAAAAAUAACAGAUGUAUCUAUCAGUUCCUUCGAAUGCGAAAUCAGUUAUGCGAAAACGAAUCUCUUGAAUUGUUAAUUAAUUUUGAGAAAUAUUUAUUUGGAUUUUUUCUUUAUUAAUUUUUUACUGAUAUGUUUAUAUGCGCGUCAUGCAAAAGGCAAAAAUUUCAAGUUAGGUACCUAUUUUUGAGUUUUGUACCUUUGCCCCUCUGUUGCGGGUGUCCAUGGGCGGCGGUAAUCUCUUACCGUGAUUAACGUUUUCAACCAAAAGGUACCACAUUGUCGUUUGUUGAUAAGGUUGAUUUCUAAUUGAAUCUUGGAAAUAGCGCCUUACUGAAAAGCGACAAUAAGUACCCUUUUGGUUGAAAAUGGCACCUUUUAGUAUAUUGAGCCUUAAAUAAUUGGUCCAAAUAUAUAUGUUAUAUAAUCAUACCUAGUGUUUUGAGUACAGUAGUUAGGUUCCUUUGGUGGUUAAAAUUGUCCAGAUUCGAUAUUCUUUAUAAUCUUAAGGUAUGUUUAUAGCCGCAUACGUAUUAAAUUUUAAUCUAUAAUGACAUGAAUUUAUUAGUGUUUAGGUUUAGUCUGCUCUCAAAAUUCACUUGUAAAAAAACGCUAUAGUCUAUAUCGUAAUCAUUUGUGACGUUUUCAACCAAAAGGUACCACAUUGUCGCUUGUUGAUACGGUUGAUUUCUAAUUGAAUCUUGGAAAUAGCGCCUUACUGACAAGCGACAAUAAGUACCCUUUUGGUUGAAAAUGGCACAUUUAUUGUGUAAAAAGAUUCAAUUGUCGCCAUAUACUACCUUUUCAGGCAUUCACAUAAUAGGGUAGGUAUCUAUCAGUAUUUAAAAUAAAUAAUUAUACACCACGCAUGAAAUAAAGCACCAGAAGAUGAAUAGAGAAACGUAGACAGCAGUUAUGUUAAGACACAAUUUCUAUUUUAAACCCCGUAUAAAACUAUAAAGAGUAGGUAAUUUGAUCGUGACGUCACAUGCUAGUAUUUCAUAUAAAUUCCAUAGUAUCAAAAUCGUUUUGACAGUUCGAAAACAGAAACUGGUUUGAUUAGUAGUCAAAUAGGACUUCCGGUUCGAACGCCAUCUUGAUAGUAGCCUCGUGAUUAAUUCCUUUGUUUUUUGCUCAUUCAUAUUGUUUGAAGUGUAAUAUCGAUAGCUUUAUUAUACAAUAAUCUAAUGUGGUAGUGUGCAGUGAAUGGAGAAUUAAUCUCAAAGCGUGUUUAACCACCAUUUUGGAGUCAACGGCCGGUAGUCCACGUGCUUCUCGUAAAAUCCAGCUAUCGGUUUUACGAGACAACUACAACAACCACCGAACAGCGUCGUGCUCUAAGAGCAUUUAUUUUGUUCCUACCCUUUUACGUGACAUUGGCUACGGGCAACACCGCCCUCAAGUCCAUCAAGAAAAGAAAGUAGUCAAAUACUGUAUACUUGCAAAAUGUAGCGCUUAACAAUAACAAUAUAUGUGGUAUUUUCUAUAAAGAGGGACCUUAUUGUCGAUGGCGCUUACGCCAUUAUAAACGAUGCUCCGAUAUAAAUACAACGCGACGCUGUGCGGCGUAAGCGCCAUCGACAAUAAGGUCCCUUUUCAUAGAAAAUGCCCCAUUUGUGCUUCUUAAAAUUCUUUUCUCUUAUGACAAUAUUUAUUCGGAUGUAAAAAUUAUCGCCACAGCAAGUGAAUUUUGAGAGCAUUCUGGUGAUAUAUUAUCUAUAACGCUCGAACGUGCGUAGAAAACUAUUAAUAAAGUUGUAUGUAAGACACAUGUAGAGGGCGUUUUCCAUUUUUUUUAAUAAACCUCUUUGUUUUGUACAUGAAAAUUGGUAUUCGCUUUCGUACCUUGGCGCUUUUGUAAAAUAUGAAUAUUUCAACUUGACUUUAUUUCAACUGCCUCAAAUAAUGUUAAGCACCUGCUCCAUUAUUGAUAAAAGCGCCAUCUUGUGAAAGUGUACUUAAAAACUUAACGCCUAGUCUCCAAAGAUUGUCUGUCCACAAAAUACCUUUAUUUUAUGCAAUACACAAACUUAAGGCCUUAAGUUUCUAAUUCUAACAUUAAGAUUCUUUAACCAUUCUGAUCGUUUUGAAUUAUAUUUUGAAAUGUGGACAGAUAUAAACAAAAUUGUAUGAAAAUUCUGAUUGUAACUGAAGUAUUAUUAAUAUUAUCAUAUAAAUGUAUUUAUUGAAUAGUUUUAGUACAAAUUAUAGCGUUUUUAUAUAUUUAAUGUAUAGAUAUUGUUAGGUGUAGUUGUAUAUUGGAUUGAUCUCAAUUUAUUUGCGUGGUGGGAUGUAGAUGGCGCUUAUAUUAGUUUUACAUUUGGAUGAAUUAUACUAUUAUGAAAUAAAAA